rnacentral:tRNA from 1 species
GGAGGGGUAGGGAGCGGUUAUCCCAAGCGGUUUUGAAAACCGCUAGGGCUGAAAGGCCCUCGUGAGUUCGAAUCUCACCCCCUCCG